AGGCAGGAGGACCGGUGGAGAUGAUACUAUCCCCUGGCGCUGGCGGUCCGGGGCCAGACGAGGGCCGGGGGCUGAUCAGGGAGGCACUGAGGCCCAGCUCUUCGUGGUCCUUGGGCUGGCUGCGUUCACUGAAGUCGGGGCUGAGACGGCCCCCGCGGCUGCUGGGGAAGGGCGGCUGUCGGAGCUGCCAGUAGGGGGUGCUGCACUUCAGCGGAGGCCGUGCUCUCAGCCUCAGGCGUCUUGGGGUCGCGAUCAGGGUGGGCUGCUCCUUGGAGACUCCGCCGCCAGGACGCCUCCGCCGUCGGCGGAUGGGGCUGCCGGGGAAGUCCGGGUCGUCAGAGUCGUCGGAAGCCUCAGACUGCGACGGGCUACCGCUGCUGGCGCUGCUGAAGAUACCGUUCCGGUUCUGCGGUGGAAACCACUGCGCCGCUGCCCGGCCCGGCCGCCGUCGCGGCCCCCCGCCACCGGCUGCCCCGUACGUUCGGAAGAGUCGGAUCUCAGAUCUCCGGAGUGACGCCGCCAUGGCAGACACCCGCCAAGCAGUUUAAAUGCAAACACCGCGAGACUUCCGCGUGGUGCGCUCGCCUGCCCUUUGGGUCCUAGUGCCCGGCGGCACGAGUGCGCAUCACACCGGGCCUUACUGGAGUGAGGGGGUAGGUAACCGUGGAGCAUUGGUUUGUUGAGUGCGCCCCUGGAAUGGCUUUCGUUUCAGGCUUACACUGGGUGCACCGAGAAUCAGCCCGCUUGUGUGAGCGAUCCAUUUCAGGUGAGCGUGGUUUCCCGGAGAGGGAGGGAUUGAAGCACGUGAUAGGGAGAAGCCAGGAUGCUACUUUUCCAAGAUUCCUCCUGAAAGCAAUGCACGGCGGCGGUCAGGGCCCUCCUCCCUCCCCUCACUGAGUUUGCCAGGGUUGGUGCUUUACUUGAGUCAAAGUGAGCGCUCAAACUGCUCACACCCCCUGUUCUGGGACCUUGAAAUAUUCUGGACCUGA
rnacentral:lncRNA from 1 species